rnacentral:rRNA from 1 species
AAAUUGAAGAGUUUGAUCAUGGCUCAGAUUGAACGCUGGCGGCAGGCCUAACACAUGCAAGUCGAACGGUAACAGGAAGUAGCUUGCUG